rnacentral:rRNA from 1 species
ACGGGGUGCAGCAGGCGCGAAAUCUUCACAAUGUGCGAAAGCACGAUGAGGGAAUCCCAAGUGCUAGCACGUAAGUGUUAGCUGUUUCUAAGUCUAAAAAACUCAGAGAGUAAGGGCUGGGUAAGACGGGUGCCAGCCGCCGCGGUAAUACCUGCAGCUCAAGUGGUGGCCGCUAUUAUUGGGCCUAAAACGUCCGUAGCCUGUUUAGUAAAUGCUUGGGUAAAUUGUGUAGCUUAACUAUACGAAUACCGGGUAGACUGCUAAACUUGGGACCGGGAGAGGCUAGAGGUACUCCUGGGGUAGAGGUGAAAUUCUGUAAUCCUAGGGGGACCACCAGUGGCGAAGGCGUCUAGCUAGAACGGGUCUGACGGUGAGGGACGAAGCCCUGGGGCGCGAACCGGAUUAGAUACCCGGGUAGUCCAGGGUGUAAACGCUGCUUGCUUGAUGUUAGUUGGGCUCCGAGCCCAACUAGUGUCGGAGAGAAGUUGUUAAGCAAGCUGCCUGGAAGUACGUCGCAAGAC